UGUUUUUCUCAAUGGACCUGGAAGGGCUAGAUCCAUGAAAUGUAUGCCGGCUUCUUGUAUUUCUUCCUGGAGAAAUUCUACGCUGUGGAGAAAGCCUCUUGUCAAGCUUAUCCCUCAAGUCACCACCUCGAUGGUCNNNNNNNNGAACCCAAAAAUUGUCGAAGCUCAACACUUCCAUGGGCGAAGGAGCAAUUCUGGCGAUGACAACGACCCUUUUGAUACAAUACACAUAACUUCGUUUUAAAAAGCUUCCGUUCAACCAUUUUCCAAAAACCCAAAUAUUAAAUCAAAGAAAAUAGAU
rnacentral:misc_RNA from 1 species